AGCGAACGCUGGCGGCAGGCUUAACACAUGCAAGUCGAACGGGCUUCUUCGGAAGUCAGUGGCAGACGGGUGAGUAACACGUGGGAACGUGCCCUUCGGUUCGGAAUAACUCAGGGAAACUUGAGCUAAUACCGGAUACGCCCUUUUGGGGAAAGGUUUACUGCCGAAGGAUCGGCCCGCGUCUGAUUAGCUUGUUGGUGGGGUAACGGCCUACCAAGGCGACGAUCAGUAGCUGGUCUGAGAGGAUGAUCAGCCACACUGGGACUGAGACACGGCCCAGACUCCCACGGGAGGCAGCAGUGGGGAAUAUUGGACAAUGGGCGCAAGCCUGAUCCAGCCAUGCCGCGUGAGUGAUGAAGGCCUUAGGGUUGUAAAGCUCUUUUGUCCGGGACGAUAAUGACGGUACCGGAAGAAUAAGCCCCGGCUAACUUCGUG
rnacentral:rRNA from 1 species